UUAAGUUCAGCGGGUAAUCCUACCUGAUUUGAGGUCAGAUUGUCAAGUAUUGUCCUGUAAGGACGAUUAGAAGCUAAGCCCUCAGUAUGUUGCUUUGCAAUGGCGUAGAUAAUUAUCACACCAGAGGUUAGCGACAAAAGCUCUGCUAAUACAUUUAAGGAUAGCCGACUCGUGAAAAGCCCGCAAAUCCCAAGAUCCAA
rnacentral:misc_RNA from 1 species